UUUCUCAUCUCUCAGCUCUCGUCAUUCACUCCCUGCUAAAGCCGCCGCAGGAAAUCACCCAUGGCAGUGACAUCACUCCAAAUAACCACACCACAAAUCAUUACCCUAUGACCACCGCACUUCCCUAAUCCUAAAUCACUUUCCAAUUUUCCCAAAUAAUCACCCAAACUACAUGAAUUCCAAAUCUAAGAAGUCAAGAAAACCUAGUUUGCUUUUCUUUUAAGAUUCUUUCUAAGUUCGGGCUUCUUUUUCGUUAUUACCUGAAUAAAUCGAAUACCUUCAGAGUUGAAUGAUGAUUAGUUUCAUGCAGUUAAUUGUCACAUGUGUUUGAUUAGCCAUAGACCCUCCCUUCUCUGCUUGGAACUGCAUUGUCUCAAGCGUUAGACUCCAUAGCCUUAAGGUAUCAUUUUGUAUUCAAUUCUCCGGUCAAGCUAGGAUCGUUAUAUUUACUUGCAACCAUUGUUUAUGCCAUUCGAGCAUGAAUCAGUGCUCGUGUGACAAUAUCGACCACUACUCAGAUUGUUUGAAACCAGUAGUGAUAUCAUCAAUGGGUAAUACUUUUUUUCCAUUCUUUCUUGGUCAUUUAGCUUAAUUGUCUAAUAUAUUGAUAGAUUGGUGUUUUGUUGUUUUACAUGAUAUAAUUUAGUUUUAGGUUAAUUACAACAUGUUUUAGCAUUAAUUUCAAUUACACUUAGUUGAUUUUAUUGAAAUUAUCAAUUGAAUUGCUUGCUUAAUGAUGCAUCAACCGUUGUUUCCACCUCAUUUCAAUUUGAUUCAUGCUUAGUUAUUGCAGGGUUUAGUCGAUUUAGAUUUUAGAAGCUGACAUACUUUGUUUGUUUGAAUCGUUCACUAGGUUAAAUUACAUAAUUAUCUUCCUCUGUUUUGGUUGUCCUAUUUUGUAAAUUAUUAGGAACUUAUUAACUGAAAUAAAGAAAUUUAGGCGGGUCUUUGAGGUAUUUUUGGAGAAUAAGAAUAUCUGGAAAAUUCGAAAAGCUUCUAGAAAGGGAUAGUUGUCCAAAAUUAUUAAUAAAAGAUGCUGAGAAACUGGACAACUGUCCAUUUUUCUAUUUUAAAAGAUGCCAAUUUCCUAAUUCUAAGGGAAGGCUGGCAGAUUCUCUUACUCUCUCUCUCCUUCCCAUCACAAGGGCACACACUUCAUACUUUAUAUAAAAGACCUCACAUUUCCUGAUCCUAGAUGUUAUUAUCUGCAUAUUCACUCUCAAAAGAACGAACACUUGGGUAGAAAAAGAGAGAGAUACACACACGAAAAUGACUUCAAAAAUACAAAAUUCUUCAUGACUUUGACAUUGAUUUUCUAUAUGAAAUUGAUGAAUGAAAUGUUGACUUCAUGACUAUGCCUAAGCAUGUGUGUUCAUUGUGUUUUAGUCAUUAGAUCCAUUAAUCCUUGCGGAAAUGUUAUGUGUUCAAGCUAAAAUCUAGACUGGAAUCAUCUUUUCCUUUGAGAAAAUUCUAGUUGUUGAUCCUGUGGUUAAUUGAUUGUUAAUUGGAUUUGCUUUAAGUAUAACUCAGAACUGAAAUUUUGUAACCUAGUUUAAGAUUCACUUGAUUAUAGCCUAUAUAGUAUCUAGGAGGCACUCCGAAAUCUUCAGUCUUCAAAGUUCGACCACCAGUUGGCCAUAUUUGAGAGGCCUUAGGUAGUGUUGAAAUGCAUUAGUUGAUAAUCUUGCCUUCCCAUGAGCAUUAAGGAGGAAUUUUGAAAUCAAAUAAAGGCAUUCUCUUAUUUUCUUUUAGCUGUUAAGUUUGUAUGUGAUAGAGAUAGUCAAUGGGAUGUAUUAACUAAUGUUUUGUCGUUUGCUACAAUCACUCUAUAAUUUUGAAAACAUCAUUUUGUUGUGUUUGAGUUUGUAAUUUCCACAACCCUUUGUUACAUGUUGAGUUUUUUAAAAGGCAACAAUGUUUACUAAUUUCUAAGAAUGUAUGAAAUUGGACUUUAAACUAUAAUAUUGUUAUCAUUGUUUGAUUGCUUUUCUAUUGUCGUUGGAUUUGUGAAAAAAGUUGUUACACCUCAUUUUUACCACCCAGGGUAUAUAAGGGAGUUUUUCUAAUUAAUGUGAUAUAAAUCGAAAAUGGAUUAUUUUUAUUUUUUUAUUUUUUCCAGAGACGCCACUUAGGACAAUUUAUUUGGUAUCCCAAGUCACUAGUUUAUUUUAUAUCAAAUAGAGAAAAUUUUCAACUUUAUUUAAAACUUUGCGAACCAGAAUGUGACGACCCGACAAGUCAUCUUAUGAGUUACUGUUGUUCCCCCAAUGUCUGCCACUUUUUGCCUAUUUAUCCGCAAUAUAUGGUAUCGGGUUGGUCCGAUCAAAUCCGGAAUGAUUUUGGUAAGGUUUAAGAUACUUCGUCUCUUUGUAGGAAGCUUAAGUUGGAAAAGUCAAUCGGAUGUUGAUUUAUGUAUCACAGGGCUUGGAUAUGAGUUCCAAUGGUUUGGAUAGCUCUGACAAGUCAAUUGGGACUUAGGAUCAUGAUCUGCACGAGUUUUGGAGGUUCAUAGUAGAUUUAUGCUUGAAUUGAAAAAGUUGAUAUUUUGGCGAUUUCGGUUGGAAGGCGACAUUAUGAUAUAGGGGUCGGAAUUUCAUUCCGAGAGUUGCAAUAGUUUUGUUGUGUCAUUUGAGAUAUAUGUGUGAAAUUCCAAGUUAUUCGGACGUGGUUUGGUGUGAUUUUUGAUCGAAAGUGGAAUUCCAAAGAUUUUGGAAUACUUAGGCUUGAAUCUGAUGUAGUUUGGUUUAUUUGAUAUUGUUUGAGCUAUUUUGAAGAUUUGUAUAAGUUUGAAUAAGGUUUUGGGGUAUGUUGGUGCCUUUUGGUUGAUAUCCCGGGGCCUUAGGCGAGUUUCAAAUGGUUGAUCGGACUAUUUCAUGCCUUGGAGAAUUGCAGGUUUUGGUUCAAUUGUUGUAGAGUUUUUACUCUGAGCGAUCGCUUAGGGAGUCUCGUGAUCACGUAGAGCUGUUGUGGGGGCAGUUCGUUUUGCUCAGUGCAUUCGCGAAGCUGGGGAUGCGAUCACAUAAGCUGAAGGCAUUGUUGACCGCGAACGUGUGGAGUGGGUCGCAUUCACGUAGAGUUAAGUGGACCAAGGGUCUAUGCUUGAUGUUUUUCACUGCGAACGUGGUAUCCAAUCUGCGAUCUCGUAGUGUUAGACGCCUGAGCAUCACGUUCGCAUAGGAUUUUACGCGUUCAAAUAAUGUUAAUUGUGGGAGCUGUAAAUUUAUACUUCGGGAUCGCGAAGGAUGUCCCCCAUUCACGUCGAAGGAAUUAAGGCCUCAGCAGAAGGUUUAGAAGGUCGUCUUGUCCGCAAAUGUGGGGUUUAUUUCUUUCAUUGUUGGUUGUUUUUGAAGCUUUUUAAAGGGGAUUGAAGAGGGAUUCAAGGGGAAUCACUUGGAGGUAAGAUUCUUAGACUUAAAACUCGAUUCUAAUGUGAAUUCCACCUAAAUAAUCAUGGAAAUGAAGCCAAAAAUUGAAGAACUAGUGCUUGGAAACUUAGACCUUUGCUUGAGAAUUUGAAGGACUAUUAUAGGUUAGAUCCGAGAACUUUUGAUAUAUAUGAACUCAAGGGGAGAUAAGGAACCUGUUGAUGUAAAAAUUAUUGAAUUUUGAGACGUGGGCCCGGGAUCGGGUUUUGGUAAUUUCGGAAUUUAUGUUGUAUUUUGAUUAUUUUCGCUUGGGCUUCGUUCCCUUAGCAUAUUUGACAUCCUCAUUCUGAUUUUGAUUUGAUUUGAUGCGAGUGGAGGUCGAUUAGAAGGGCAAAGGCAUCACGAGUUAGAGAUUUAAUCGGUUCGAGGCAAGUAAUGAUUUUAUAUGAUGUUCUAAGGAUUUGAAACCCCGAAUUGCACAUUGUAGUGCUAUAUUAAGGUGACGCACAUGCUAGAUGAAGAGAGUGGGGACGUGCACUAUUGGGGCUUGUGAUUUAGCCCGUCCCAAAUAAUUAUUUACCUCGUAUUUGACUAAAAUCUAAUUACUAUCAUCAGUAUAUGGGUUGAAUGCCAUAUUCGGGCCUCGUGCCAAUUAUUUGAACCUUUUCAGGGAUUUUUAAUGAUAUUUCCUUACUGUUUUGACUUUAUACUUGAACUCAGUCAUAUUAUUUUCACUAUUUCCAUACUCAACCAUAUUUACUUUGUUUUAAUACUUAAAUGAUCUUUUAAAUAAUAAUUCGGCUAAGGCUCACUAUUUUACUAUUGCCCGAGUGUCUUCUGAGGAUAUUUGAUUGAGUAAGGCUGAGGGCCUAUAUUAUGUGGAAACACUCAUCAUGAUCUGAGA
rnacentral:lncRNA from 1 species